CAUAGGAACAACAUGAAUUUGUGCACGAGGCGGAUGAGGUGCGACUCAAGUUUCGCAAUCAGGUGGAAGACUGUCCCCUCUCUCUGGUCAGUCUCACCGGAUGAAAAAAGCUCCGAGCUGAAGAUCACUGAUGUCACGAUUUGACCACACUGGUCUUGAAACCACCAUGACCAUCAGAUGCAGGCCAUUCCAGUCAACACCACCUCAUAAGAUGAGGAAGUAUAUUGUUUGAGGGUUGCCUGCUGCAGUUGUUCGAGAGAUGUCAACUUUGUAGCCGAACAUGCACCAUAGAGAAGCCCAGCAAGGCAGCAUUCAUCACGCAGACAUACCCUCGCUGUGAGCAUUCCUAUGAAUGGAACAGGAAGGACACUUUAAUCAGGUUGGUGACAUUGGACAUGGUCAAAUAGGUCAAAACAUUUGAGUUCAAUCAUGUUGUAAGCAACAACAAAAAAAGUGUUAAAUUGAAAUGGUUUGGGAUGAGUCAGGCCGCAGAGUGAAGGAAAAGCAGCCAACAAAGUGAUCAGCAAAUGUGGGAACUCGUUCAAGACUGUUGGAAAAGCAUUCAAGGUGAAGCUGGU